CCGAACCAGAGUAACAACAGUGAUAUUUGUAGUUUUUUCUAAAAAUAACUAUGGCCUUGUUCAUUAUAAUAGCCUUGUUCAUUACAGAAUGGCUGCGGCAGUAUCAGAGGAACACACACAUCUUCAUAGAGAGAGAGAUAGCAACAGAGACCGUAACCAUAGCUCCGACCUGUCUCUCCGGCAGCAUCGGGAACGAUUUCUCCUUCCCUUCCCUCUUUUUCCUUUGCUUCUUCUUCUUAUUCUUAACCGAGUCGAUAUGUUAUUCUUUUCUGUCGCGGUAGUGGGCGUUCCUCGGAGCUUUGUAGAUCUGUCGGAGCUGAUCUUUAACCUUGUAUGAAGAGACGACGACAAGACUAUGGAGAGGUCAAAAAAGGAGAGUCGGCGUUUUAGAACCAAAGGUUGUUAAAAAGAGCUUCAAUACCAGCUGAAAGCUUGCAAGAGACUCGCUCGCGUAUCUUACCGCUAAGGUUCGAUUUUCAUUCCGGAGUCUCUUCCGGCUUUGGCGUAUGAAACGAGGCAUGGAUUGACGGCGGCAUGAAGCCGAUUAUCACUACAAGAAAACAUUCAAACUCUGACGGAAGAUUUCGUCGGAAUAAGCCAUUUUCGACAAAUUUCCGACGAAAAACGUCGUCGGUUUCAUUUGGUCGGGAAAAAAUAUUUCGUCGGAAUAACUGACGAAGAAACCAAUUUCGUCGGACUUCCGUCAGAAUUUUCCGACGAAAUUCUGAGAAAUUAAAACCUCAAACUGAAACUCUAAUAUAAAAGCAAUUUCGUCAGAAUUUCAUCGGAAUUUCGUUAAAAUAUUCUGACAAAAUUCUGAGGAUCCAAAACCCCAAACCGAAACCCCAAUACAAAGAUGUUUUCGUCAGUAUUUCAUCAGAAAUUUACGAUAAAUCAUAUUUCGUCGGUAUUUCGUCGGAAAUUUCUGACGAAAUUCCGAUGACUCUUAAAUAUUUGGUUUCUUUGGUAUUUCUUCAGAAAUUUCUCAGAAUUUUCCGACCACAUUAUUGUCGGAGUUUCCGUCAGAAUGUGCCAUGUUUUCUUGUAGUGUAUGUUGUUGGUUCACGGAUUCGACGCUCAUCAAAUGGAACUAGAACAUGGUGUUAGGUUCAGUCGGACUACUGUCCGUUUUGUGGCUUAGGACUGGAGUAACGAACGUCAAUUGAUACAAACCAUCAUCGGUACUGUGCCUGUGGUGUUGAAGCGAUUGGGACACAAGCGAAAAUCCUACUUUACGGGACACGAGCGGAAAUCCUACUUUACGGGACCAUAGCUUGGUGAAGAAAGGAAAUGUCGAUUGUGUAGUCCGUGUCUAUUUGUGUUAGUAGUUGUUCUCAAGUCAUUAUGGUUGAUUGUAGGGGUCAAAGAGAUGAUUCCUUUCGGGUUGUGGGAUGGAUUCAUUCUCGCUACUGUAAAAAAAUACAUUGUUUGCUUGGUCAAGUAGCAUUAGGUCCAAUCAAGUGACG